rnacentral:rRNA from 1 species
GUCGUCAGCUCGUGUUGUGAAAUGUUGGGUUAAGUCCCGCAACGAGCGCAACCCUUAUCCUUUGUUGCCAGCGGUCCGGCCGGGAACUCAAAGGAGACUGCCAGUGAUAAACUGGAGGAAGGUGGGGAUGACGUCAAGUCAUCAUGGCCCUUACGAGUAGGGCUACACACGUGCUACAAUGGCAUAUACAAAGAGAAGCGACCUCGCGAGAGCAAGCGGACCUCAUAAAGUAUGUCGUAGUCCGGAUUGGAGUCUGCAACUCGACUCCAUGAAGUCGGAAUCGCUAGUAAUCGUGGAUCAGAAUGCCACGGUGAAUACGUUCCCGGGCCUUGUACACACCGCCCGUCACACCAUGGGAGUGGGUUGCAAAAGAAGUAGGUAGCUUAACCUUCGGGAGGGCGCUUACCACUUUGUGAUUCAUGACUGGGGUGAAGUCGUAACAAGGUAACCGUAGGGGAACCUGCGGUUGGAUCACCUCCUUACCUUAAAGAA